rnacentral:rRNA from 1 species
CGCCUAACACAUGCAAGUCGAACGAAGUAGCAAUACUUAGUGGCAGACGGGUGAGUAACAUGUAGGUAUCUGCCCUUUGGCCUGGAAUAACACGAGGAAACUUGUGCUAAUACUGGAUAAGUCUUCACGGAGAAAGCUUUAUGCACCAUUGGAUGAGCCUGCACUUGAUUAGUUUGUUGGUGGGGUAAUGGCCUACCAAGACUGUGAUCAAUAGCUGAUUUGAGAGGAUGAUCAGCCACAUUGGGACUGAGACACGGCCCAAACUCCUACGGGAGGCAGCAGUGGGGAAUCUUGCACAAUGGAGGAAACUCUGAUGCAGCGAUGCCGCGUGAGUGAAGAAGGCCUUUGGGUUGUAAAGCUCUUUCGUCGGGGAAGAAAAUGACUGUACCCGAAUAAGAAGGUCCGGCUAACUUCGUGCCAGCAGCCGCGGUAAUACGAAGGGACCUAGCGUAGUUCGGAAUUACUGGGCUUAAAGAGUUCGUAGGUGGUUGAAAAAGUUGGUGGUGAAAUCCCAGAGCUUAACUCUGGAACUGCCAUCAAAACUUUUCAGCUAGAGUAUGAUAGAGGAAAGCAGAAUUUCUAGUGUAGAGGUGAAAUUCGUAGAUAUUAGAAAGAAUACCAAUUGCGAAGGCAGCUUUCUGGAUCAUUACUGACACUGAGGAACGAAAGCAUGGGUAGCGAAGAGGAUUAGAUACCCUCGUAGUCCAUGCCGUAAACGAUGUGUGUUAGACGUUGGAAAUUUAUUUUCAGUGUCGCAGCGAAAGCGAUAAACACACCGCCUGGGG